UACGGGGGGAGCAAGCGUUGUUCGGAUUUACUGGGCGUAAAGGGUGCGUAGGUGGUUGGGCAAGUCUGAUGUGAAAUCUCCGGGCUUAACCCGGAAAUGGCAUUGGAAACUGCCCGGCUAGAGUGUUGGAGGGGGGACUGGAAUUCUCGGUGUAGCAGUGAAAUGCGUAGAUAUCGAGAGGAACACCAGUGGCGAAGGCGAGUCCCUGGACAACUACUGACACUGAGGCACGAAAGCUAGGGGAGCAAACAGG
rnacentral:rRNA from 1 species